rnacentral:rRNA from 1 species
UACGAAGGGUGCAAGCGUUACUCGGAAUUACUGGGCGUAAAGCGUGCGUAGGUGGUUUUUUAAGUCCGUUGUGAAAGCCCUGGGCUCAACCUGGGAAUGGCAGUGGAUACUGGAAAGCUAGAGUGCGGUAGAGGGUAGUGGAAUUCCCGGUGUAGCAGUGAAAUGCGUAGAGAUCGGGAGGAACACCAGUGGCGAAGGCGGCUACCUGGACCAGCACUGACACUGAGGCACGAAAGCGUGGGGAGCAAACCGG